GCAAAGCAAAAUGAUACCAUCAUCGUCGAAGUUAAGAACAGUUUGUUAACUGAGAAUCUCGCAAUCCAUUGGCAUGGGAUUAGACAGAUUGGAACACCUUGGUUUGAUGGAACAGAAGGGGUUACUCAGUGUCCAGUUGUUCCUGGAGAUACCUUCAAAUAUCAGUUUGUUGUUGACAGGCCUGGAACAUACCUGUACCAUGCCCAUUAUGGAAU
rnacentral:misc_RNA from 1 species